GCCUGUCAUGUGUAGGCUACAUGCAGAUAGCCUGUCAUGUGUAGUUACAUGCAGAUAGCCUGUCAUGUGUAGUUACAUGCAGAUAGCCUGUCAUGUGUAGUUACAUGCAGAUAGCCUGUCAUGUGUAGGUUACAUGCAGAUAGCCUGUCAUGUGUAGGUUACAUGGAGAUAGCCUGUCAUGUGUAGGUUACAUGGAGAUAGCCUGUCAUGUGUAGGUUACAUGGAGAUAGCCUGUCAUGUGUAGGCUACAUGCAGAUAGCCUGUCAUGUGUAGGCUACAUGCAGAUAGCCUGUCAUGUGUAGUUACAUGCAGAUAGCCUGUCAUGUGUAGGCUACAUGCAGAUAGCCUGUCAUGUGUAGGCUACAUGCAGAUAGACUGUCAUGUGUAGUUACAUGCAGAUAGCCUGUCAUGUGUAGGCUACAUGCAGAUAGCCUGUCAUGUGUAGGUUACAUGCAGAUAGCCUGUCAUGUGUAGGCUACAUGCAGAUAGCCUGUCAUGUGUAGGCUACAUGCAGAUAGCCUGUCAUGUGUAGUUACAUGCAGAUAGCCUGUCAUGUGUAGGCUACAUGCAGAUAGCCUGUCAUGUGUAGUUACAUGCAGAUAGACUGUCAUGUGUAGUUACAUGCAGAUAGCCUGUCAUGUGUAGUUACAUGCAGAUAGCCUGUCAUGUGUAGGCUACAUGCAGAUAGACUGUCAUGUGUAGUUACAUGCAGAUAGCCUGUCAUGUGUAGUUACAUGCAGAUAGCCUGUCAUGUGUAGGUUACCUGCAGAUAGCCUGUUGUUAUGUAUGAUGAACUUGAGCACCACAGUGUGUGUUUGUAAACUUUUUAUAGAAUCAUCUCUUUGACUCGGGGACAUUUAGGGAGAUUAUGCAUAUUGUCAUCUUUUAGCAGCUACGUUUUUAUUCUUGUCAUAUUAAAGUAACUUUUGUUGUAAUUUUUAGAAGAAAAUGGAGAAGUGUUUUUUUAAAGAAAGUACUUUAUUGUUGCUGUGCUCUAUUUAAAUUACAAGUCUAUCUUAUUUCUCAGAUGUAGUUGCAAGAGCAUAAAACAUAGCUUUUAUCCUUAAUUUACAACAUAGUAAAUAAGAUUUCCUUCAUAUAAAAUCUUUAAUGUAUGGCUAAAUGAUAAAAUCUUAAGUAUUCUGGGUUUACUUACUUCUCAGGUGUACUUCUCAGCCACGUCACGUUGAGGUCUCUGGAAGUGUUGGGUGUGGCCUGCAGGUGAUCAAUGUGUGAUUGAUAAAUAUGGACUCCUGUGCCUACGUGUUUGUUACCACUCUCCUUAUUCUGUGUGAUUGCUAAAUACGCACUCCUGUGCCUAUGUGUUUGUUUACCACUGUCUUCCUUCUUGACGUAAGAUGGUGCCUUGUAUCUCCCAGCUUCUGAAGUUUUAUGGAAUAGCAGUGCAAAGUCAGUUAAAGCAAAGCUUGUGGUCUGAAGUAACGUGCAAGAAAUUAGUGUAUUUCAAACUUAUCACUCCUGGGUUCUCCGAGUCAUAGAUUUUCAAAAGUAUAAAACAUGCUUAACCGUAGAAGUCCACACAAAGAAAACAUAUUUAUUUUUGAGAACCGUCACUUUGACAACGCAUUGUUAGCCUGCUGGUCUGGAGGCCACGUUCCAGAGGCAGUGCUGUGGACCAUGGGGAGUCAUUUGAGAGCCACCGUGACAGAUCCCGGUGGGACCAUUGACAUCAGAGAAGACCAUCUUGGGUGGAAUUGGAAGUCAUUAUGUUAACUGAAAACAGCCAAGCAUAGGAAGAUACAUAUCACAUGGUCUCCCAACUAUGUAGACUCUAAAAAACCGUGACCUCGCAGAAGUUAAGAGUGUAAUGAUGUUUGCCAGCCGCUGGAGAGGGAAGCAGGGUGGGAGGGCUGAGGAAAGGGGAUAGCCUGAUAGGAGGAGGAGGUUCUGGGGUCUGUGCGUAGUAGGAUGACUUGGUAAUUUCAAUUUACUGUACCUUUCUCUUAAAAGCAUGAGAAGAUAGGGUUUUGGAUGUUUUCAACAUAUAGAAAUGUUAGAUAUUUGAGGAGGUAGAUAUAUUUACUCUGAUUGGUCAUCAUACAACAUAUAUAUGUAUUGAAACAUCACAUGGUCCCUUCAUAUAAUUUGUAUAUGUCCAUUAAAACUUUUUAAUAUAAUUUUUUUAAAGGUUUAUUUAUUUAUUUGAAAGGCAGACUUACAGACAGAGGGAGACAGAGAGAGCUUCUAUCCACUGACUCACUCCUCAAAUGGCCACAGUGGCUGGAGCUGGGCCAAUCCAGAGCCAGGAGCCAGGAGCUUCUUCCGGGUCUCCCACCUGGGUGCAGGAGCCCAGGGACUUGGGCCAUUUGCCAUGCUUUCCCAGGUGUGUUAGCAGGGAGCUGGAUCCGAAGUAGAGCAGCCAGACUCAACCUGGAGCCGGUAUGGAAUGGGCAGCUGCAGGCAGUAGCCUUACUGCUACACCAGUGCUGGCCCCCAUAAGAAUUCUUCUUUUUUAAACAGAAAGAAAGCAUUCUUUAACUUCUAGCAUCAUGGUCUUGCUUACCACGGUGGUGGUGUGUUACAGAGUUUUCUCAGCACUUCAUCAGAUAAUUAUCCAUUUAUCCAGUAAGUAUUCACCCAACAAGAACUUGGUUCAUGCCCCCCUGGAGCUGACAUUCUCUUAGGGGCCAUAUCUGGGAAAAACAGGUAAACAGGCACAUUAUGUAGUUACCAGCUGCAGUGUGCAUGUGAGGGACACACACAAGAAGGUGCAGCUGUGUGCGCGAUGUGACGCUGUGAUCUCCACGGAGUUCACACUCAAGCUGAGACCCACAGACGAGAAGCAGGCGGUUCCUUAGGAGGAAGAGGGAGCAACAGUGUUUCAUGAGAGGCUGAAGUGACGGGCGUAGUUCUGCCUUGUCUACUAGUCAGGUUUCAAAUGAGAGGUAGGCAGGACAGUGAGGGAGAGAGCAGAGUGGCUCAGGUAAAUGAGUGAAUGGAGUAUUGAUGACUGAAAUGGGGGGAAGUUGUUUGAGUGUAUGAUCUGGUGAGCUCAGCUGAGUUUUGAGAAAGUUUGGGCGAAGAAAAGGUAAACUGAGGUAAUGAUAAUUGUUGCUGUGUUCAAAUGAGGAUCGACAAGAGAGCGACUUUGUUGAUCAGACGUUUAGAAUAUUCUUCAGAUGUUAAUAAUUCAGGGAGACAAAGCGGUAUUAUAAACAGCAAGAUUUUCAAGUAUAAAGAGGAAGCAGUCAGUUUUGGGGGGUUUAAAGGAAUGUUGACGUCUGUGAAGCUAAGAGGAGUUAGAAAGCCAAGUAAAAGGGGUUUAAAAUUGUAGCCAAGUGGAAAAAGGCAGAUUGUCCAGAAGGUAAGUGAAAAUAAUAAAUUAAUAAUAAUCAUAAAGAGAUUAUUGAUGGGAGAGGCCACUGGCUCAUCAGAGAAUAUAGUAAUAUAUUAGUUAUCAUAGGCAUGUACUCUCUCGCAUUAUAGGUGAAAUAUGAAAUGGUAGCUUCCAUAGAGGAGACUCAAAGAACAAUGCCAGACUUGAAAGACAAAGGCUAGUGCUGUGGCGUAGCAGGUAAAGCCACCGCUGCAGUGCCAGCAUCCCGUCUGGGCACCGGUUCGAGUCCCGGCUGCUCCACAUCUGAUCCAGCUCUCUGCUAUGGCCUGGGAUAGUAGUGGAAGAUGGCCCAAGUCUUGGGUCCCUGCACACACGUGGGAGACCCGGAUGAAGCUCCUGGCUCCUGGCUUCAGAUCUGUGCAGCUCUGGCCGUUGCGGCCAAUUAGAGAAUGAACCUGUGGAUGGAAGACCUCUCUCUCUCUCUCUCUCUCUGCCUUUGCCUCUCUGUAACUCUGCCUUCAAAUAAAUAAAUAAAUCUUUUUUUUUUUUUAAAGACAAAGCAGUUUCCAGAUGUUCUAAAAUCUUAAAGAGCUUAGCAAACUCUUAAAAAUCAAAAUUAAAUACAUGAGCCGGCGCUGCGGCUCACUAGGCUAAUCCUCCGCCUAGCGGCGCCGGCACACCGGGUUCUAGUCCCGGUCGGGGCGCCGGAUUCUGUCCCGGUUGCCCCUCUUCCAGGCCAGCUCUCUGCUGUGGCCAGGGAGUGCAGUGGAGGACGGCCCAAGUGCUUGGGCCCUGCACCCCAUGGGAGACCAGGAAAAAGCACCUGGCUCCUGCCAUCGGAUCAGCGCAGUGCGCCGGCCGCAGCACGCCGGCCGCGGCGGCCAUUGGAGGGUGAACCAAUGGCAAAGGAAGACCUUUCUCUCUGUCUCUCUCUCUCACUGUCCACUCUGCCUGUCAAAAAAAUAAUAAUAAAAAAAAUUAAAUACAUGAAGUAAUUUUGAAAAUCUGAGUAUAGUUAGCUCAUACCUUUUGAUUUCAGUGACUGCAUUGACUAUUUUUUUUUUAAUUUAUUUGACAGGUAGAGUUAUAGACAGUGAGAGAGAGACAGAGAGAAAGGUCUUCCUUCUGUUGGUUUACUCCCCAAAUGGCCACUACAGCCGGCACUGCACUGAUCCGAAGCCAGGAGCCAGAUGCUUCUUCCCGGUCUCCCAUGUGGGUGCAGGGGCCCAAGCACUUGGGCCAUCCUCCACUGCCCUCCUGGGCCACAGCAGAGAGCUGAACUAGAAGAGGAGCAGCCGGGACUAGAACCUGGUGCCCAUAUGGGAUGCUGGCACUGCUGGUGGAGGAUUAACCAAGUGAGCCACGGCACUGGCUGACUAUUUUUUUUUUAAAGAUUUAUUUAUUUAUUUGCAAGUCAGAGUUACACAGAGAGAGGAGAGGCAGAGAGAGGGGUCUUCCAUCCGAUGGUUUGCUCCCCACUUGGCUGCAAUGGACAGAGCUGCGCCAAUCCAAAGCCAGGAGCCAGGAGCUUCCUCCAGGUCUCCCACGUGGGUGCAGAGAGAGGUCCAAGGAUCUGGGCCAUCUUCUACUGCUUUCCCAGGCCAUAGCAGAGAGCUGGAUUGGAAGUAGAGCAGCCGGGACUAGAACCGCUGCUCAUAUGGGAUGCCGGUGCUUCAGGCUAGGGCGUUAACCUGCUGUGCCACAGUGCUGGCCCCUGCAUUGACUAUUAACACAUUAAAAUAAAGGUCAGUCUUGUUUUUAUUUUUAAUGUGGUUAUUUUCCAAUUUUCCAAGGGACUGUGGGGAGAACUUAAGUAAUCCAUAUCCUUAUGGGGAGCAAAUUAAUUAUAUGCCUUCUUGAAAUUAAUAAGGGUGCAGUUUCUAAGUUUGAUGUAAACUUGUGACGUUCGUGGUGUUCUGAGAGAAUGUGGUUUCUCUACAUUUGAAACAAACAGACUGUUUCUGUGUGGUUCCCCAGUCUGUUCACUGUACUUAGCACAGUGCCAGCCGCACAGUAAAUACUUAGUACUUCCGAGUGGAGAGUUCCUGUGGAUCUUACAUUGAGUCGUGGGUUGUGGGGUCAUGCACAGAGCAGUCCACUCGUGGUGCCCACAGAGUCCUGUCCGGUGAGCUGUGUUCUGGUGUCCGUGCCGGCAGACAUCCCUGAGGGGGUGUCCGUGCCGGCAGACAUCCCUGAGGGGUGUGCUGUUUUGAGAUUGCUCGUUUCCGUGCAUUGCAGAGCAUGCCGUUGUGAUUUUAAGUCAAGUACAAUUCACUUUUACAUUUCGUGUAGUUGUUAAUGAUUUUGAUCAGUCUCCUCUUUAAAUUUCACAGUUUACUGUGUUUUUCUGUAUUCUGAAUAAUAAAGCAUUGGGUUCAUGAUACUUUGAGAAACAAAUACCCUAGUAAUGACUACUGAAAAAGGUUUUCUGGACCUCAGAUGAGACUGUGUUGCCCGCAGUUAUUUCCGAGAGGCCAGUUGAUGUGCUUCCUCGUGUAGCUGCAUGCACAGGCAUGGCGGACAUUCCUGUCUGAGCCGUAGUUCUCUGUUUUUUGAAUCGUUUAAUCCUUUUGUGUGCAGCCAUUAUCUAUCUAACUUUGUACUUCAUUGUUUAUGGCUUUUUCUUUCUGAAGCUGGCAGUUAAGUCAGCUUCACAGUAACUUGAACUUAGUGGCUGUUUUCUUGUGGUCCUGUUAUGUAGUGAUUAUUGCGCCAAUACUUGUUUCAUGACCUUUGUUGCUUACAUAUAGACACAUCUUUCAGUUGGACCAUCAUCCAGCCUUCCAGAGUUGGUAAUACUGGUUAAUACUACCUCAUGGGGUAGAUGCUCAUCAGUCCUGUGGGUGUAGGUACGUGUUAGGGUACCGUGAACACCAAGCCUGAAGAAGUAGCGUCAGCUUUUACUCUGAGCAGUGGGGAGAACCAUUUUUUUGCCAGAAGAAAACAGAAUGAGCAGAGGUCUGCUUAGAUGACUGUGGAAUGCACUGUUACUCUGAAACAGCUAGUGGUGAUCCUCGGGGCUGAGCUGUCCUACUUGUACCUGGAGAAACAUUGUGCGGGCUCUUAGCUGAGGAUUCUCUGUAGCAGCAGUAGUGGGGGACCUGUGUAACACUGAUGAGCUUGGAGACCGGAGACGGGGGGAGGUGAUGGACCCGGCUUUACAGACGCUUUGGCUCUGUCACCGUGUGACCGGGGCAAGGUUCUUGACCUCUCUAGACCUUGACUUCCUGUUUUGAAAAAGGUAAUACGACUUUGAAAGCCUGGCAUGCAGUCACAUACGCGAAAUGCCUUACGAAAGUUUUGACACGUAGAGGGUCUUCCCCCAAGAUGAUCAGGUUCCACCGCCGAGUACAGACAGGGAGAUUGUUAAAGUAAGCCUCUGUGUUAUUGGCGGGAGCUUUGUGCCCAUAGAUCUCUGUAUUGUUUCAAUUUAAGCGAGGCCAGCUAGGGUGUGUUUAAGCAAGCAUGUAAGUUUUCCUUUUUUUGUUCCUUAUGAACAAAAGGCCCAUUUGUACUCUGAGGUCCUAGGUGGCUGCUCCCUGUGAGCUGUGGGGAGGCCGAGGGCAGCCGCAGGGGAGUCUAACCAGAACCUUCAGCGGAGCAGCUGUUCAUGUCCUUGGCAGAUACUGGUGAACAAAGGGGUCUGUGUGUUGCAAAGAAGGUUCAAGCAGUCUGCUCCUGGGCUUCGCCCUCUCUCAGGUGCCCCUCUCCCCUUCUCCUUGGCCUUUGAAAGUGUGUGGGAACCGACAGGGUCGGAGUCCUGAGGAAUGGGAGGAAUUCCCGUCUGUUUAUUGCCCAGAGCUCUCAGAGACGAAGGAUGACAAAAGGACAGAGCACUUCUGGCAGAAAGGCCUGCCUGGGCCUAGCGUUGAACUCUGCUCAGGAGAGCUGCGUUUGAGUAACAUGGGAAUUUUCCAGAUAUGGACAUCUUGCCUCCCGUUGCUUCCCCUGUGUCUGAUGAGAUCUCUUUAUUAGCUCCUUC